GAGUUUGAUCCUGGCUCAGGAUGAACGCUGGCGGCGCGCCUAACACAUGCAAGUCGAACGGAGCUUAGAGAGCUUGCUUUUUAAGCUUAGUGGCGAACGGGUGAGUAACGCGUGAGUAACCUGCCCUAGAGUGGGGGACAACAGUUGGAAACGACUGCUAAUACCGCAUAAGCCCACGGUACCGCAUGGUACUGAGGGAAAAGGAUUUAUUCGCUUUAGGAUGGACUCGCGUCCAAUUAGCUAGUUGGUGAGGUAACGGCUCACCAAGGCGACGAUUGGUAGCCGGACUGAGAGGUUGAACGGCCACAUUGGGACUGAGACACGGCCCAGACUCCUACGGGAGGCAGCAGUGGGGGAUAUUGCACAAUGGGGGAAACCCUGAUGCAGCGACGCCGCGUGGAGGAAGAAGGUUUUCGGAUUGUAAACUCCUGUCGUUAGGGACGAUAAUGACGGUACCUAACAAGAAAGCACCGGCUAACUACGUGCCAGCCGCCGCGGUAAUUC
rnacentral:rRNA from 1 species